rnacentral:lncRNA from 1 species
UUUUAUGUCAUACCAAGCGUUUCUUCAAAAUUCUGACCAAAAACCCUAAGUAAAUUAAACGAAACUAUAAAAUGAAUUUUUCAAACAAAUAUUUUAAGUCGGUAUGAGAAAUUUUAAUUUAACAGAUGAAAUCAAAUAAACACAAUUCAACUCGUAAAAUAUUUAGACCCUUGCUUGGUAAUCCAGCUGAACAGAAAACUGAGAACGAUACAGGGCGUUAAAAAAUGCGCUCAACAAACAUACACGAAUUAAAAUUCGAAAAUGAUAGUAUUUCUUGGUGAUGCCAAAUGACUGCAACAUGAAAAGAUGACAUAAUGAUAGCGGGAUGUAUAUAUAUAUAUAUAUAUAUAUAUAUAUAUAUAUA